rnacentral:rRNA from 1 species
GAUGAACGCUGGCGGCGUGCCUAAUACAUGCAAGUCGAGCGAACAGACGAGGAGCUUGCUCCUCUGACGUUAGCGGCGGACGGGUGAGUAACACGUGGAUAACCUACCUAUAAGACUGGGAUAACUUCGGGAAACCGGAGCUAAUACCGGAUAAUAUAUUGAACCGCAUGGUUCAAUAGUGAAAGACGGUUUUGCUGUCACUUAUAGAUGGAUCCGCGCCGCAUUAGCUAGUUGGUAAGGUAACGGCUUACCAAGGCAACGAUGCGUAGCCGACCUGAGAGGGUGAUCGGCGACACUGGAACUGAGACACGGUCCAGACUCCUACGGGAGGCAGCAGUAGGGAAUCUUCCGCAAAGGGCGAAAGCCUGACGGAGCAACGCCGCGUGAGUGAUGAAGGUCUUCGGAUCGUAAAACUCUGUUAUUAGGGAAGAACAAAUGUGUAAGUAACUAUGCACGUCUUGACGGUACCUAAUCAGAAAGCCCCGGCUAACUACGUG